AGGAUAUUGGAGCGCCAGUUUAUUUCGACCAACUUGCCUUUGUUUCAAACAACCUUACACACGCGUCACCAUGAAGAUACUGUUGGUUUUGCUGGUGCUGCUGCCCCUUGCGUUCUCUACCCACGUCGACAAAAGAUUGCUAGACUUUUUUCCAGAUCCAGAUGAUUUUCGGCAUUUGUGUAACUUAUUGGGGGAUGAUGCAACGAAAGCCACUCAAGCCACGUGUUUAACCCAAUGCCAUAGCAAACUGCCAUUUCCUUCUGGAUUUUAUUGUGAUUUAUUGUGCAGAGGGAUUGUGACUGGAACGCACAAGUGCUAAAUGAAGACGCUGCAUUUACUGAAAAUAUAAUAGAAGAAAUAAAACAAUCAAAGGAGAUCCA